AAUAGAUACCCCGGUAGUCCACGCCGUAAACGAUGUCGACUUGGAGGUUGUUCCCUUGAGGAGUGGCUUCCGGAGCUAACGCGUUAAGUCGACCGCCUGGGGAGUACGGCCGCAAGGUUAAAACUCAAAUGAAUUGACGGGGGCCCGCACAAGCGGUGGAGCAUGUGGUUUAAUUCGAUGCAACGCGAAGAACCUUACCUACUCUUGACAUCCAGAGAACUUAGCAGAGAUGCUUUGGUGCCUUCGGGAACUCUGAGACAGGUGCUGCAUGGCUGUCGUCAGCUCGUGUUGUGAAAUGUUGGGUUAAGUCCCGCAACGAGCGCAACCCUUAUCCUUUGCUGCCAGCGGUUCGGCCGGGAACUCAAAGGAGACUGCCAGUAAUAAACUGGAGGAAGUGGGGAUGACGUCAAGUCAUCAUGGCCCUUACGAGUAGGGCUACACACGUGCUACAAUGGCGUAUCAAAGAGAAGCGACCUCGCGAGAGCAAGCGGACCUCAUAAAGUACGUCGUAGUCCGGAUUGGAGUCUGC
rnacentral:rRNA from 1 species